UUCGGAGACAGGUGCUGCACGGCUGUCGUCAGCUCGUGUCGUGAGAUGUUGGGUUAAGUCCCGCAACGAGCGCAACCCUUGUCUUUAGUUGCCAUCAUUAAGUUGGGCACUCUAAAGAGACUGCCGGUGUCAAACCGGAGGAAGGUGGGGAUGACGUCAAGUCCUCAUGGCCUUUAUGACCAGGGCUACACACGUACUACAAUGGCAGGUACAAAGGGCAGCCACUUAGCGAUAAGGCGCGAAUCCCGUAAAACCUGUCUCAGUCCGGAUUGGAGUCUGCAACUCGACUCCAUGAAGUUGGAAUCGCUAGUAAUCGCAGAUCAGCACGCUGCGGUGAAUACGUUCCCGGGCCUU
rnacentral:rRNA from 1 species